rnacentral:rRNA from 1 species
CCUACGGGAGGCAGCAGUGAGGAAUAUUGGUCAAUGGGCGUAAGCCUGAACCAGCCAAGCCGCGUGAGGGAUGAAGGUUCUAUGGAUCGUAAACCCCUUUUAUAAGGGAAUAAAGUGCGGGACGUGUCACGUUUUGUAUGUACCUUAUGAAUAAAGAACGGCUAACUCCGUGCCAGCAGCGGCGGUAAUACGGAGGUUCCGAGCGUUAUCCGGAUGUAUUGGGUUUAAAGGGUGCGUAGGCGGCCUUUUAAGUCAGCGGUGAAAGUCUGUGGCUUAACCAUAGAAUUGCCGUUGAAACUGGGAGGCUAGAGUAUGUUAGAGGCAGGUGGAAUGCGUGGUGUAGCGGUGAAAUGCUUAGAGAUCAGGCAGAACCCCGAUUGCGAAGGCGGCCAGCCGGGCCAUGACUGACGCUGAUGCACGAAAGCGUGGGGAUCAAACAGGAUUAGAUACCCCAGUAGUC